UACAGAGGUCCCGAGCGUUGUUCGGAUUUAUUGGGCGUAAAGGGUGCGUAGGCGGUGUGGCAAGUCGGGAGUGAAAUCUCUGGGCUCAACUCAGAGACUGCUUCCGAAACUGCUGUGCUGGAGUGUGGGAGAGGCGCGUGGAAUUGCAGGUGUAGCGGUGAAAUGCGCAGAUAUCAGGAGGAACACCGGUGGCGAAGGCGGGUCUCUGGGCAAUAACUGACGUGAGGAGCGAAAGCGUGGGGAGCGAACAGG
rnacentral:rRNA from 1 species